rnacentral:rRNA from 1 species
GACGAACGCUGGCGGCGUGCUUAACACAUGCAAGUCGAACGGAAAGGCCCUGCUUUUGUGGGGUGCUCGAGUGGCGAACGGGUGAGUAACACGUGAGUAACCUGCCCUUGACUUUGGGAUAACUUCAGGAAACUGGGGCUAAUACCGGAUAGGAGCUCCUGCUGCAUGGUGGGGGUUGGAAAGUUUCGGCGGUUGGGGAUGGACUCGCGGCUUAUCAGCUUGUUGGUGGGGUAGUGGCUUACCAAGGCUUUGACGGGUAGCCGGCCUGAGAGGGUGACCGGCCACAUGGGGACUGAGAUCCGGCCCAGACUCCUAGGGGAGGAAGCAGUGGGGAAUAUUGCACAAUGGGCGGAAGCCUGAUGCAGCAACGCCGCGUGCGGGAUGACGGCCUUCGGGUUGUAAACCGCUUUCGCCUGGGACGAAGCGUGAGUGACGGUAAGGGGUAAAGAAGCACCGGCUAACUACG